rnacentral:rRNA from 1 species
AUUGAACGCUGGCGGCAUGCUUUACACAUGCAAGUCGAACGGUAACAGGUUAGGCUGACGAGUGGCGAACGGGUGAGUAAUGCAUCGGAACGUGCCCGGUCGUGGGGGAUAACGCAGCGAAAGCUGCGCUAAUACCGCAUACGAUCUGAGGAUGAAAGCGGGGGACCGUAAGGCCUCGCGCGAUCGGAGCGGCCGAUGUCAGAUUAGGUAGUUGGUGGGGUAAAGGCUCACCAAGCCGACGAUCUGUAGCUGGUCUGAGAGGACGACCAGCCACACUGGGACUGAGACACGGCCCAGACUCCUACGGGAGGCAGCAGUGGGGAAUUUUGGACAAUGGGCGCAAGCCUGAUCCAGCAAUGCCGCGUGCAGGAAGAAGGCCUUCGGGUUGUAAACUGCUUUUGUACGGAGCGAAAAGGCUUUCUCUAAUACAGGAGGCUGAUGACGGUACCAUAAGAAUAAGCACCGGCUAACUACGUGCCAGCCGCCGCCGUAAAAC